AACUUCUCAGAUGAUGUUAGAGAGAAGCAUUUUAAUGAUUGUUCGUACUGAAAAUUGUCAUAAUCCUUAAGAGUGCCAAGGUAGCAUUGGUGUUCUUACCAAAGUUUUCAUUUGUUUAACUUAAAAUGUCCUGGGUCUAAUUAAUUUUUUAAAUAAAUGGUUAGAAUUUGAAAUGUUCUGGGGAAGCCAAGAAUACAUUUCACAACUGCAAAUUAGACAUAAGAGUUAGCAUAAAGAAGUAGAGAAAGAACAACGAGAGUGGGAAAAUGAGAAAUGUGACCAAAGCUGGAAGCAGAGGGAAAGAUUUUCGUAUUAAACUCUUCAAUACCAUUUUGUUGGUGCUAUCUGUUACCACAUGGAACAAGGUCUAAGACACAUUAGUCUACUGCAAGUUUCUCAAGGUUCACUGCUGCUGGCAAUAUUUGAGUUAAGGUCUGCUAGUUGUGUUCAUAUUGUCAUAUCAGUUCUCCCUUCUUUCAGUAUGGAUAUAUGUGAGUAUCAGAUCCCCAUGGGAUAUGUGAGUGAGGAAACAAAUCACAUAUCAGUGGGAGGAAAGUCUGCAGGCUACAGAUAAGAACAUGAGGUCUUGUUAGGGAUUUCUGCCUGUGUCAUUUUAGACAUGGGAAUAACAGUGAAGUGUUGGCAAAACAUUUUAAAGCCGUGCUUUUACUAUCUGUGAAUACCAAAUUAGUGUUGCUGUAGUACAUUAAUAGUUUACACAAAACUGCAGAUACAUCUGUGAUAAAACUUUUUCAGGUCUAUGUAUAGGGCAAAUCCAGUGAGACUUUUGUCUAUUCAUAUUUAAGCCCAGUUUAAGUUUCAGCCCAGAUUCCUAAGUUUAACCUCUUCUGUGUUGAAUUUUUGUUGUCUGUCAUAGUGGCUAUUACGAGUUAUCAAUACAAGUAAAAUCUGCAGCAGGAAGUGUAGUGACCUAAGUUUCUUAAUCAAUGAAUCCUUUUGAGUUAUGUCAGAUAAAACUCUCCAAGCCUCAAACACACCAUGGUAAUUAAAUGCUGGAAGCUGUUGGCAGUCUGACGUAGAAUAAAUCACUCACUGCUUGAUCUGCUCUGGGGGAAGCAACAGGAAAGAGUCUGGGUCAUUUAUAAACACCUUCAGGGAGCUGUACCUUGGCAUUAAUUCUAAGUGGGCAUGCAGGUGUGUUACUUGGGAAGUGAUGGACAUAGAGGUUUCUUCCUAUUCUUCCCACCAGGUGUAGUUUUGUCCACCCCUUUCCAUUAUGAGGAAAAUAUUUUUGCUAGAAUUUCAGGGUUUUUUUUCUGUGUUUGCAACCUGCAUCCUCAGAUUUAGCAGAAAUCUUCUCCCCUGCUCCUGGUGUUUCAGUGUUGGCUCAGAUUCUGGCAAUAGGAAUAAGUGUUUUAUUAGCUCUUAUUUGGGCAUUUAGGUUCAAGUAUGAUGGUGCUUCUAGAUUCAUUGCCAAUGAUAGAUGUACCCUGGGAAUUAUGACAAGUGAUAGAAAAGUGGUGCUAUCAGCCAAACCUUUUUCACCUUAUUACUCAGGAUCUCAUAUAGAAGAGAUGAACAGAAUUUGUUCCUAAACAACUGGAAAAAAUACAACAAUAAGCUUUAGAUGGCUAGAAAUCCCCUCCCCUUUAUUAUAUAUAAAUACUUCUUUAGUGCAAUGUAGUCAUUGUGAGAAGUGAUUGGUCAGGCAUGAAAAAUGUAUGGAUGGAAUAUGAUGGAAUGAAAUUUGACUUCAGGUCUAGAAACAGAAAAUUUAAACUUUGGAGAGAUUCUCUGAUGAUCAUAUUAUAGGUAUGCAGUUAAAAGAGCUCUUGCAGUGUCAAGUGCUUCCAGGAUUAUCCUCGUGUUCUUAUGCAAUCUGUAGUUUCAGUGAUACUGAGCAUUUUCUAAUAUGGGAAAGAAUGCCUUUUGCUUGAGAUAAUUCAUUAGGAUAUGUUUACUGUACCUUUUUCUCUAGUGAAUUAUGCUUGUAUGGACAGGAACAAAGGAAAAUAACUCCUUUUUCAUUUCAUGUAUUUUCUGAAAAAGAAUGAUAUAUCCUGGAUUCUGUGGUGUGGUCCUGAUCUUGUAAAGGGCAAAAUUAUAAGAAUGCUUUGAAUAUGAUUUUGAUCACAGGCAGGCUGAAGAUUCUUUUGUUGUUGUUGCUUUCUGUUUUGGGGUUUUUUUUUAAAGCAAAAUAGCCCAGAAAUAAUUAGCAGUGGUGUUACAUUCCCAUGAUGUUCUAAUUCAGUAAAGAGCUGAACUGCCCAGAUUGCUGCAUGUCAGCCCAAUAUGUGCUCUACAUCUUUUUCUCCCCCCAUCCAUCACUCCCCAUUUCCAAACUCCCUGAAAUGUUUCCUUUAACUGGUGAUGCCUUUGGUGCUCUGGGGGAAGUAGUGUGGAAUGGAGAUGCCAGUGAUCUCCUUGUGCAGCCUAGAAAGCUUCAGGUUCGCUCUUCCAGAAAUGGUGAUGGAGUAUUCAAGGUUUGGGAUUUUUUAUUAUUUUAGGGAUGUUUGCUAUAUUAUUUCCAAUAAAAAUAAACUUCCUACCAAAACUUUGGUUUUAUACUUUUUAGCAGCUAAAUUGAGUGUUAAUAUGAAACAGUAACAGCAAGUCAGGUUGAUUUCAAUGUUGCCUCAUAGUCAAGUUUGGUGUCUGAGCACUUCUGUUCUACAGCUCUACACCUAAAUUGCUCAGUUUUGAUGUUUCCUUAUCCAAUGAGGAGUAUCCAAUACUGUAUAUAUUAAUUUAUAAACUUUUGAAGUGUUCCUGACAUUCUUCUAAACUUACAGUUUAUGCACCAUUAUAUUGUAUUGAUUUUUCUGGAUCUGUAUGCUAAUGUUUACAUAAUUUUGUAGGAAUACAAUUAAAAAAUUCUGAUUGAAGCCAUGUUGUGUAAUUUGUCACUUAAUAUACUUUGCAGGACAGAAGAAUUCCAGCACAUUUGAAUGCAAAGGGCAUGAUACUGCAGAUAGUUCUAGCAGUAAACUGACACAUAACACAGAGCUGAGAAAUUUAUUCUUCCUGUACAGUAUUGUGGUAGUUGCUUCUGUCUGCAUAGCAAUGUAAAACACAGCUAGCUACUGUAAAUUGGAAGGGUGUCAGUAUAAGUGUGAGGUUUCAUCUGUGUGUAUGGCUAUAUGCAGAUAUUCUGAUGUUCCCAAGCUUUUGGUAAGCAAGUAGAUGUUGGAUUAUUCAUUCAUGAAGGAAAUGUCACUAAAUAAAGGCAAAUAACCCCCUAAAAAAUAUAAAUAAUUAAUGUGUUGUAUAAGGGUUUUUAUGGUUUGUAAUAGUGAGGCUGAGAUCCUCCUAAAUAAAACCAUUUCAAACAUUUUCCGAAAUGUUAAGGAAUUAAUUUUUUUAGCAUUACAGGAAAUUAAGAUAAAAACAUAAUUUGAUUGCUCCUAAGGUUUUAUAUGUAGCUGUGCUUAUGAAGUUUGCGGUGUUGAUACUGAAGGAUUUGAUCCAUCGACCAGCAGCAGUGGAAGCCAAGAUGGUGACUGACAGACACGUCUCAGGGAGCAGGAAUGAGCAGGUGGGUUGUGGCUGAGCAGGGAGCUUCCUGCACUGUGCCCUGCACUGCUCAUGGAAAUGCCAAAGGGAUCCCAUUCUCACGAGCAAUGUUUGGCUGGGUGCUGGAUGAGCUAGGGCUGGUGGGCUUUGUUUGCAUGACACCUGGGGAGGGAGAGGAGGGUUGAUGCCCUUCAUGUUGUACCUUGGAAAUCCCAGGUGCAGGGGAAGCAGAAGGUGCUCCCAUUGUGCUGCUGCCAUGCAGAAGCAGCUGCCAGUCUGUCCCAAGCUGUCACUGGUCAUGCUGUAAGCAGCAAAUACCCUCGUGAAUACACUUUAAAAGCAACCAUAGCCUGUGGAGAUAACCCUGGGGAUAAAGCAUGGUUGCAACGGCUGCUUCACUGUGGACUUUUCCUGGUUUUCUCCAUUGUCUUCCCACCUACGUAGGUGUUUGGACAAAGCAAUCCCAGACACCUGAAUUUCACAACUUUUCAUGUUUACGUUCACAGUCUGUGUCCUCUCAUCCUGAGCAGCUUUCUGUGACAGAAGGAUGGACAGAUGGAUGUCAGACUUUGGGAUUCCAAAAGCUGUUACAAACUCUGUCUGGUUCACUGAGGUAAUUGUAUAUUAGCCAAUGUAGGGUGAUGCAAUGUUUGCUCUGGAUGGAUGACUUGGUUUUUUUCUUUCUUUUUUAAACUUUUUUUUUUUUUUUUAAUAUCUGCAUAAAGUCAUCUUUUUCUGUUUUGUGGCACCUCUGUGACAAGAGUGAGAACAUCCAUAAAAUCAUGGAGACUGCAAGAUGCACAGCUGUCUGAAAUGAGGAGAAAAGACACAAGAGUGAUGUUUCUCUGAAAACACCAGUGUGAGCUCUCACCAUAAGUGUCCGAAUAAGUCAUGCCUGUUUUGGAGCUGUGUGGGAAAUGACAAAGUUAAGCACCUCACAUGUCUAGAAUCUUUCAACUUGAGAAUUGGAAUAAGAAGAAUAUGGAAAAUUUUCUCCAGGCUGCCUGGUUGGUUGAAGUUGUCUUGCUUUGUGUUCCUGGAUCACCAGAGAGUAGGCUUUCCUGUUUCUGUGGGCUUGUGCAUCUUCAUCAGUGAUAUUAUGAUUCAUCAGACCAGGAUUUCACACAGCUCAAAAUGCCUUCAAAUGGAGCUGUAGAGAUACUCCUUGUACACACGUGACACAAGCACAGAUACCCACUGGGAGCUGGCCUGCAGAGACUGGAGAGCUGGAGACCACGACGGUGCUGUGUGCUGCCUCGUGCUAAUCAGCGUUAGAGCAAUUCAGUGAACUCAGUGUUGGUGGGUGAGGACUUUGUAAAAUGUGACAGCAUGGACUGCACAGCAAACUGUUCUGAAAGGGAUUUAGAACAGUUUAUCAUUCCAAGAUGAUAAGCCCAAAACUACAUACUAGGGGCAAAUUUGGGGUGAGUUGUUGCAUUUUUUCUAUGGCACCAACAUUAUUUUUCUGAAUAUAUAUUUGGUGAUAUUGGUGGCUGCUAGUGGAUCAAGAGUCCCCAUGAUGUAAAACAGUAAGCUCACCUUGGUAACUGAAAUGCUCACAGGUCUGCCCAGUUCAGGUGUUUCCUCUUUACAGGAAAACAGUUGGACAAUUUACUGGGAACUAAACAUAAAGGAAGCACAGAACUAUUUCAGCUGUGAAGCAGAAGCACUCUUGAAAUACUGUCCAGCUGAGUUCAGCACUGUGUAUGUAGUGUUUCCAAAUGGCCACCAUCAAGAAAAAUUAUUUUGACUAUACAGCUAACAGGUUUGAUAUUCCCAGGCCACCACUAAGCCCUUGGGUAUUUUACAUUACUACUUUUGCAGAUGGUCCCUAUGGCUCUGGCACCAGAAGAGAAAGGGUUGGGAAUGCCAGAGCAAAGUAUUAGAAAGAAAUGAUUAAGUUGUAACUGUACAACAGGUUUGGAGUGCAACUCCAAAGGAUCCUAUUGAAAUACAUAGAUAAGUUUUUACUUCUGAAAAACAGAAGUAAACAGAAAAGCCUGUUUAGUUAUUGCAGAAUAACUCAGUAGGGACAGUGCUUCUAAGGGAACUCUAGCUUUGAGGCACAACGUGGUGUUGAUUAGUGCAAAUAAAGCUCUUCAAGAGUCACCUUUCAGCAAUUACAAUCAGACACUGCCACUGUGGCUUCAAAAGCUUCAUUAGCAAACUCUGCUCCUAGUGAGAGCUGUGAAUCUCAGAUACCCCAGAAGUUUUAGCUGAUGGAGAAAUAUCUUCACUUAUUUAUUUUCUUCCAAAUGAAAGAUAAUAACAUAUUCCUUCAUCUGGAUAAACAGCAUUAAAAAUCAAAAUAGAUCCUGCUGAAGAAAACACAGCCAGUGGUAUAGUUCUAAAGAGAUGAGGAUAAUUUUCCAAUUGAAUAUGAUGAAGUCAGGGCACCUUAAAAUUUUAUUGUUACCUAAAGCAACAAUCUAACAAAAUGCAGGGUGUUUUAGAUGUAGCCAAAAGAAAGGUAUAAUAAAGAAUUUUUUUCUAUUUUUGUUAGGAUUCUCUAAUGAAACACCUGCAAAUACUGGAAACAAUUUUCUAGCAGUUUUCUCUUAAUACACAAAUAGAAGAUUAUGAUAUUUUCAAUUCUUUCUUGGUUAAGGCAAGGGCAGUUGGCAGUGCUUUGUUCGUUGUCAUCAUGCCAAAUACUGGCAGGCUCUUUUGCAGUGUCAGUGGUGAUCUGUUUCCACAGUUAGUGGGAAGACUUCUUGCUGAUUUGCCUGCCAAUGUACUAACCUCCCAUUAAAAUAGUGGGACAAAUUAAGUUUAGUGCUCUUGCUAAUUUCCACAUGAAUUCAUUAUUUGGCAGCUAUAAUAAAUGUUGUUUGCCAGAGUUCCUCCUUAACCUGUGUAUCUUACUGACGCACUCACUGCUUUGUAUAUACUGUAGUUAAUUGUUUAAGAAUUUAAUGAAACUACCAUAAGGUAUCAAAGAAAUAAUUACAGCA
rnacentral:lncRNA from 1 species